rnacentral:tmRNA from 1 species
GGGGAUGAAAGGAAUCGACAAAAAUUUUUGUCAAAAUAGGCAGACAGAGCAUACUAGAAACUCUUUAAACCUUUUCUAGUAAAAGAAUAAGUGCCAACUUAUUUAAAAAACCUGCUUUGGCUUACGCCUAAAAGCAGCAUCCUCUUUAUUGAUUCUCGAUAGGUAAAGCAGGGUGUCAUAUUAUCGAGAUAGAUAGUUCCUUUUGUCUCGAAAACUAUCGAAAAAAAAGAGACAAAUAGUGGUACUAGAUUUGUCUGUUUGGUCUAGUAUUUCAAUGUUAAAACAGACUAAGUCUGUAGAAAUAUUUUGACAAAGUUUCUGGACAAGGGUUCAAUGCCCUUCAUCUCCACCA